GCUAAAAAACAUUUAACUUCUUUAGCAACCAACAUAAUGUCUCCAUUCACUUAAUUCAAACCAUUCAUAACUUCUUACCAACAUCCAUUUAACUAUCAGUCUAUCAGCAUUUAUUAAACUUGUGCUGCAUGUUUGUUAUGCAACCAUCACAAUAAUGCGCUUAAUGUGCAGAGUGCUUGACUCCCUAUGCCUUUGAUGCUAAUAUGUCUUUUUUAUGUCUGUUUGUAAUCCAGCAUUUAUUGGUAAUUAGCCAUUCAGCUGGCCAGCCUGUUCACGUGAAACCUUUCAAUCAUUCACGCCACAUUACAAACAUUUCUCAUUCAAUGCCCAGGUCUUCGACUGUGCGGUACUGGUUUUCAUUUGGCAAAUUUGUCUUACAUUGACGUUACACUGAGGAAUAUCAAGGUAUCAACACACCCAAGGUAAGUUAUUUAAAGGUCAUUGAUUUCUAAAGUAGCCUUAAUGUUAACUAUGUCUUAAGAAUUGUCCCGAUAUCUAACGUUAACUAGAUAAGUAAGUUAGCGAAGCCUGUCUGUUGGUAACGUUAGCUAACACUAACUUUUAGCAACCGGCUCAUAACUUUCUAUUUUUUGUAUUUCAACCAAGGGGAAAUUAAGUUAAAAUGUAUCAGAUAGUGUAACUUUUCAUUGAGCAUAAUGUUUCUAAUGUUAAAGUAUUAACAAGUCACGUAACUUCUAGCACUACUGGAUUAGCGAUAUAGGUCUUGAUUCUAGGUUACGUUAACGUUAACUACAGUAAAUGCCGAUACAGGUGUUGAUGAUUAACUUUAGGCUACUUUGGCAUGCUAGUCACUUUCGUCACUCGCUUUGUAACGUUAAACACCGUGUGCCGUUUGCCGUAUCACAACCAAAGUUAUAUGAAGUAAUGUAGUGCUAAUUUAAAAUCUGUGGACGAAUGUAUUGUUAAUAACUCCUAAAAUUAGUCCGGCGUGUUCUGAGGAUUAGCCACGUCUGUCAGACUCGACAUUACAGUAGUUAGCGAGCUAGAUAAAGUUAACGUCACCGAAUUAAAGAUAUGUUAAAUAUCCGGCAUACCCGCCAUCUACCUUGUAUAACAUCGUUAGCCUGAUUACCAUCGACUUUCAAAGGCUCUGCGAGACUUUAGUCUGACCAACAGCCUGUGCUAACAUGGUUUCUUGCAAGCGCUGGUUGACCCGCCUCCUUUAAGUGCCUCGAUUUGCUACUGGUAGAUGUCAGAAAGCGGUUUGCCGAGUUUAAACCAAUAACAACACUCUUUCCUCUGCCUUGAACACGCCUCUACCCAGAGCCGUUUGAGCUGCUCAAAGUUGAUUGGUUCUCGACCAAAGGGGGCAGUUCCGCAGAUUUCGGGAACUCAGAAAUCCUUCUCAAUGAGCAGUUGACCAGACCAGCAGCAAAAGCCUGAAGGCGUUGCGUCACUGGGAGGGCGUGCCAGGCUAUAACAUCGUAGCCAAGGACAUUUGUUAUUUCAAUCGUGUAACCUAACGCUAUUAGUGCAUGUCGUCAAAUGAAAUAUGUGCUUGUAAGUAUGGAUGUUUGUUGCAGUGUUGUAAUGCAGUUGGAUAUUUUUCUGUCUUUCAGGCUUUUCCCAUUUGAGACUGUGUGGCCAUCACUCUUUGCUGCUGUGGAGUCAUCAGUCUUUGCUGCCAAUCUCUGUUGCCACUCGGCUGUGUAGUCAUCAGUCUUUGCUGCCAAUCUCUGUUGCCACUCAGCCUUUCUCAUUGUGUGGGAACACCCGACUGUGUGGCCACUUGUGCUGUGAAUCGCCCCUGGCUCUCAAGUCACUUCACCCCAUAACUCCACCCACUUCACAUUUCUGAAAACGGCUUUCAAAAUGGGCGAGACGUUCUGAAAUUUGGAGAGAGAGUGCAUCACUGCUGCAACCAAUCAACCAUGGUGAUUUCGUGUCAAUCUGGGAAUGAGUGCUGCAGACAUGGCUUAUCACAGGCCUUUCCGAUUGGAGGCUGUGAGGCUUACGUUUGACCUUGGGUCAGCUUUGGCGAACUGUUGGCACUUUGUGCUGUCUACCCCUCCCUGGCACUUUGUGCUGUCUACCCCUCCCUGGCACUUUGUGCUGUCUCCCAUCCCUGGCACUUUGUGCUGUCUCCCCUCCCUGGCAAGCUGUGCUGUCCUCCCACUCCCUGGCACGCUGCCCUGUCUUCCACUCCCCUGGCACUUUGUGCUGUCUACCCUCCCUGGCACUUUGUGCUGUCUACCCUCUCCCCCGGCACUUUGUGCUGUCUCCUGGCACUUUGUGCUGUCAAGAAAAAGUGAAAGACAAAGAAAUAUCAAAGCUGAAAGAAAUAUCUGAAAUAUACCCGAAAUAUACCCUCCCUGGCACUUUGUGCUGUUGAACUGAGACUCUAUCUGAGACUAUACAUCUAUCUAUCUGAGACUAUACAUCUAUCUAUCUGAUCUAUCUCAUCCAUCUGAGACUAUCUAUCUGUAUAUUCCCUGACACUUUGUGCUGUCAAACUGAGACUAUCUAUCUAUCUAUCUGAGACUCUAUCUAGGAGGCGAUCUGAGCGGCGAAUCGAGAGACUAAACUACACUACCUGUUGGUUGUUGCAUUCAUUUUUAAAGAGAACAACUUGGUGAACGACUACUAUAUUAGUGUUACUAUAUUCUGAUUAUCAUUAAUUGUGUUUUGUGUACAGCUUGAUUAAUUUUUAAACUAAGUCUAGACAGCAUUGAUUGAUAAAAGUAGCUGAGCCAAAAGAUAUUUGUAAUAUAACCUUGCCUUUUUAUUUUGAACCAAGAGUUCUCUUUAUA